CAGGGGCCGAGGGACCUCGUUUAGAGGCGGCUUAGGGGGAAGGUCAGCAGUUGUGUUUCAGUUGUGUUGGGUUUUCGGCGCCCCACAAUGCGGGCGACGUAUGGGCCACAGGUGUGGAUGCCAGGGACAGGUCGCCCUGCACAUGGCUGAGGCACGGUAGGCUUGUAGUCUACCCCAUAUCAGGCCAUGGUGAUCUCAGGUAUGGGGGCCUGGGAGAGGAGAGUGAGUACAUGGCUGAGUACGUCAGAGCACGGGGUCAGGGACACAUCAGGGGAGGACGCUGGCAGGAGAAUAACCGGGCUCCUGGGUGUCCUCCGCUGAAUUCAGACGCGUUCAUGUUAGAGCAGGUGGGCCUGCGUCCUCCCGGACGAACGGAGUUCUUAGGCAAGGUCCAGAGGAGCUUCUACCUGAAGUGGUGCUGGAGAACUUUGCACUCAGUGCUGGGUGAGACCACUGGCACCAUAACUCUCCCCAGCCUCAACUCUGGUUUUUUUCCUCUGUUCUUUCCAUGUUCCCCUUGGAAGUCGCUGUUGGUCGUGGCACUGAGGCCCAGAUCAUGCCACCUCCUCUAACAAGUGGCUGAGUGGACACCCCACACAUUCUACCCAAGGGCCGUGAGUGGCCAAGAUCGGGGCUCAGAAGUCUCUGAAUCUUCACAGCUGGUCACGUUCAGCUCGGUCACUUCCUGUCUGUGUUUGUCUUGGAGUAAGGAUUAUUCUCGCUUGCUGGGGUCAUGGUGUUUUGGCCUCUCCUGGCCUGGACUCUCAAAAACUCAUCAUCCUUCAUAGGUCUGAAGGCUUCUACAUUCCCACCAGCAGGUGGACCAUAUGAACUCAAAACUAGUUGUGGCAGAGGGACCCUGAAGAGAUCUACCCCUGGUGAAUGCCCCCAGGAGUGGGCUGUUCUCACACCUGGUGCCCAGCCUGUGCCCUCGCAGGUCUUGGUGCCUCCACUCAGCUCAAUUCCAGUUUUCUGGCCAUGCCCCGCUGUGUCCCUUUCUCUCUCCUUAGUGCCUAGCUGUGCAAUGUUUGCCUCUCCUUAACAUGUCCUCAGCUGACCCCAUAUCCUCAGUCCUUGCAACCCUGUUCCUCAGUGACACCUGUGUAUUCUCUCCAGUGGAGACACAGGUGGGACACCCCCAAGCUCAUGGUACAUGCCUGUCAUCAGUACCCCUGGACUGUCAUGGUGGGUCAGUCUGCCCUAGGCUGGACUGACCAACCUGUUCAUUCCCCCACAGGAUUGCCCUUUACAGUUCAUGAGUUCCCCCAACUGGAGUGCAGACAAGAGCACUGAUUGAUGGACCAGGUAGACUUGAAACCAGGAAUAGCACAAAAGUUAUCAAAGAGGCUCAGCCAUG
rnacentral:lncRNA from 1 species